UAACCUAAGAACAUCAAAUCAACUUGAUCCCAAGCCAUCAUCACCAUUGACGUUGAGAUCUGAGUUGUUGGAGCGUGUGGUUUUGUUUUAGAUCACGUACAAGUGUGAAGUGAAAGCGAACGUCACGGAUCAUCACCGUUAAACAACGGCUUGAUUGGGUAAGGAAAACCUAAUCCAUUUAUGCCUUAUUUCUACUGGAAUUGUCUCUCUUAGCCAUUGAAUUUGUGGCAGAUAGAUCAAGUUAGCUUUUGGAUUUUUGUGUGAAUAUGUGAAAGAAAGAAACAGUUCAAGUGGUGGAAUUGGUGAUCCGUUUCCCGUCACGUCCGAAGGAGUUUGGACGAGUUCUUAACGGUUCUGAAUAGAUCUCGUUCCCA
rnacentral:sRNA from 1 species